GACGAACGCUGGCGGCGUGCCUAAUACAUGCAAGUAGAACGCACAGUUUAUACCGUAGCUUGCUACACCAUAGACUGUGAGUUGCGAACGGGUGAGUAACGCGUAGGUAACCUGCCUGGUAGCGGGGGAUAACUAUUGGAAACGAUAGCUAAUACCGCAUAAUAUUGAUUAUUGCAUGAUAAUUGAUUGAAAGAUGCUAUUGCAUCACUACCAGAUGGACCUGCGUUGUAUUAGCUAGUAGGUGAGGUAACGGCUCACCUAAGCGACGAUGCAUAGCCGACCUGAGAGGGUGGUCGGCCACACUGGGACUGAGACACGGCCCAGGCUCCUACGGGGGGCAGCAGGAGGGGAUCUUCGGCAAUGGACGAAAGUCUGACCGAGCAACGCCGCGUGAGUGAAGAAGGUUUUCGGAUCGUAAAGCUCGGUUGUAAGGGAAGGACGGGUGUGAGAGUGGAAAGUUCACGCUGUGACGGUAUCUUACCAGAAAGGGACGGCUAACUACGUG
rnacentral:rRNA from 1 species